rnacentral:rRNA from 1 species
GACGAACGCUGGCGGCGUGCUUAACACAUGCAAGUCGAACGGAAAGGCCCUGCUUUUGUGGGGUGCUCGAGUGGCGAACGGGUGAGUAACACGUGAGUAACCUGCCCUUGACUUUGGGAUAACUUCAGGAAACUGGGGCUAAUACCGGAUAGGAGCUCCUGCUGCAUGGUGGGGGUUGGAAAGUUUCGGCGGUUGGGGAUGGACUCGCGGCUUAUCAGCUUGUUGGUGGGGUAGUGGCUUACCAAGGCUUUGACGGGUAGCCGGCCUGAGAGGGUGACCGGCCAAAUGGGGAUGGGGUUCCGCCCAGGAUUCCUCCGGAGGCAACAGGUGGGAAUAAUGGACAAGUGGCCGAAGGCCGGAUCAAGCAACCCCGGGUGGGGAAUGAGGCCUUUGGGGUUGAAACCCGCUUUCCCUUGUGACGAGUGGUAGGUAAGGGAAAGGGGAAAAAAAGCACCGGCUACUUCGGU